ensembl:lncRNA
CUGCUAUUUAAAAGCAAAUCUGCUGUUACAAUUGCCAGUGAUCCUGAUCACUUUCUGUAUUUUCAGUUGAAAAUGAAGAUAAACAAUGAAGCAUUCUUAUCAAUUAUUUCAAAGCAUUUUACAAAAAAAAAAAAAAAAAUCAGGAUAAAAAUCUUUUUUAACUAAUGCAGAAACUUAGGAAGAGCAAAAAAAUGUGGAAAAAGAAAGGAAAACAUGAUUUUCUCAGUAUUACGAGGUAGGUAACCCAGGCACUAUGUGCUGCUGCUGUGGGACAAGGAGGGACAAAGCGGAAUCAGGUACCUUUGGAACUCUUACUUUAUAGCCCCACAUGGUCAUCCUUAGCCUGUGGAGGAAGGUAGCAGCCUGUGCUGCCUGCUUUCUCCUCCUCCCAUCUCAGGAUGAAAACUAGAAAAAAAAUGCUCUGUACUUGCAUUUCAAAGGCAUAGUCUAGUCCUUAGCAUGUGGUCUGAAUUAGAAAGAUAUUGCUGUAGUUAAUAUUAGAUUUUCAAGAAAAGUUCUUCUUUAUUUACUCGCAUCUUUUAAAAAAUCCAAAUUCAUAAUGUUGAAUGCACAAAUUUUAUUUCCUAUUAACACACUGUAUUCUUGAAUUGGUAGUAAAGAGAAUUUUAAACAACAGUGGCAGAUGGCCGAAUUACCCCUCCAGGGUGACUGGAAAGGAUGGUCACUGUUUUACUCGAUAGAUUAUGGUGAAGUGUAUUAAGAUAACAUGGACUGGGUGUGUAUUGUUGCAUUAGAAAUAAGACAUACAAUUUUGGCUAGAGUUUCUGUCUGCCCUCCCAUCUGAUCCAGAGAGCCACUAAUUUAGUACAAGUGUUCAUUAUGAAAAAUGUAAUAGACCUGAAGCUGGAUGACUGGGUCCUGGGAGCUAUUCAGCUAUUCCAUUAUUUUAUUUUAUCUUAUUUUACAGACACUGAGGAUUGUACCAUAUGUUUCUUUAACUGUAUUCCUGGUAAAAAUCUGAUUUUGAUUGGCACAAAUUGAACGUAUUCCAUAUAUCCUAACCUAUUACAGGUUAUCCUUACCCUAGCAAUUGAACUUUAGCUCUAAUUCAGAAGAAGAAAAAAAAAAAAAAGAAAAAAGAGUGCAAAGGCAAUCGUUUUCAUGUCUUUGCCAGAUGAAGCUGAAUAGAAGUACUGUCAGAGUAAGAAAUUCAGGAUUUGACCCUCUGAGUAGAUUUUAUUUUCAAAGCAGGUUCCCAGAAGCCACAGAGAAAAAAGGAAACAAAGCUAAAAUUGGGACAAGGUCAACUGGAUACAGAAGAGACUGUAACAAACCUAAAAUAGUUCUGUUAUUUUUGUUUCAGCUAAAGUUCACAGAAUUUUUAUUAAUAAUCUAACCUAGAUAUUUAGGCAGGAAUCAGACAGAACAACUUUUUAAUGACUGCCCAGCGGGAAGGUUAUAUUCAUAACUAGUGUUCAUAGUUCACUUCAUAUUUGACACUGACAGAUACAGUUACUGCCUUAAAUAUUGAAAGCCUAAGAAGUAUCCCUCUACAAACAGUAUAACACAUUACAGAGAGUUGAAGAAAUCUUUUGAGUGUAUUCAUUGCUUGGAAACAUAUAUAUUAUACAUACGUACAAACAAUGAGAAACACGUGUAUUUUAUCAGGAUAAGCUACACUUAUUUGCAACCAGUAUGGGUAGGAGAAGGAUCAGGUCUUAUUUUAACAUGAUAGAAAUGCAGACAGGGAAAAUUUUCUGAGCAGAAAUUCACACUUUCAAAUCAGUGGAUAGAGUUAAUUAAUCUUAAUUAAAAAAAAAAAAAAUGAAGAUACUAUUUUUACUUCAGACUCUUCUCUAAAGUAAUUAUACCACAGAUGAGGCAUAUACUUACUCUGAUACACCACCAACUUCCCCAAUUCCCCCCAGAAAGAAAAAUAAUAACAACAAAAACAACACUGCACUCCGAAAAGAAAAGAAAAGAAAAGAAAAGAAAAGAAAAGAAAAGAAAAGAAUACCAAAUUAGGCAUCGGAUAUCACGAGUCACAGUGGUACUCAGAGUUCCUUCUGCUGCUACGAAUAGAAAUUACUGUUAAAAGUCUCUCUGAAAAGUUGUCUGUAAUUCAGAAUUUGUUUUAUGUGCAAUUUAAAGUAGCUUAAAUUUAUUUGUUCUCUUUCAGAAGUUAUACUUUAACAUGAAAAACACCGAAGAGCAUAAAUUGUUCUUUAUUUAACAAUUUUAGAUCUGGGAAUAUUUCAUUUAGAUCUAUUCUAGAUUUUACUGCUGGUGUUAACAUGCAGGUAGUAUUCUGUCAUUCUUUCAUUUUUGCAAUGAUCUAACAGUGAAUUUUUCACUGAUGCAACAUGCAGAUAUUAUUCUUUUAUAUGCAUUUCAGUAAAUAUUAAACAAGUAUAUAAAAUAUAUGUAAAGGGUACUGGGAAUUUAGGGCCUACUCUGUAUGCUUAUGAUGGAGGUUGUUGUCCACUCUUCCGAAAGAUGACACUCGAGAAUUCAGAUGACAUGGAAAAUACAGAGGUUUUAAAUAGUGAUGCAGCUAAAAUGCAAAACUCAGCCAAUGACAGCAAUAUCCCUUCCAAACUCUUUUUAACAGACACAAACUACUAAAUCCUUUAACUACAGAAUUGAGUCUGACUGACAGCUGAAGAAAAGUACACCUGGUAUUCAGAGAUAAACACUCUCAGUGUCAUAAAAAGGUAUGCCAGAUCUAACCUUCAGCCUGGACUUAGAAUGUCACAGUACAAAGGAAAUAGUUUUGUUUUUAUUCUUUGUCAUUAACAGGCUGGCUGAGCCAGGAGUUGGCUCUAAGAGUUCCUUAAAAAUGAGAGCAAAAAUGUAAUGUAUUUACGUCCUAAUCACAAAAAUGCCAGAAUAGUCUGCAUACUUUGUUAAUAGUCCUAAUGCCUUUCCAGGAAGGACAUACAGAGUAGUCUCAUUGGGGUUACUCUUAGUGUUAAAAUCAUGGAUCUGUUAAAUGUGUUAGGAAAUUAUGAUCUUUACUGUAUAAUUAGUAAGAUCUCUUGAUUCUCAUUGCUUAAGAUCCCAGAAGCUGAUAGGAGCUACUUUCUCUAUUUUACAGUGGGUAAGCUUGGGUGCAUGAAGAUAGUCCUGCCAAAGGCCAGGCAGGGAAUCCUUAACAAAGCCCAGAGCCCUUUAAGUUUCAUCUGAGUACUUUAACUUCACAGCAGCAAUUUUUAUCACCCUUUUAAUUUCACUGAAAAAGCCUUUAAAUACUCAAUAUAAUAACAGGUGACUGAAGGAUGAUCUUGAGGUAACUUGAAAGGAGAAGAUUUUUCUGCUUUCCACCUUAAAAAAGCACGGGUAUAUUAAACAAUGAGAACUGACAACAAAGGUAAGCUAAAAGCUAAACAUAAUAAGACACUGUUUUCAGCAUUUCAAAAGAACUAAAUACAACACAUCAGCAGCUUCAAAAUCCUUUUGAACAAAUGCACUCAGAAACAACUAACUGGCAAACAAAGCUAUUAUGAAGAUGACAGUGUGGCCAGUGAUCUUUUGGCACAUCAACUCCAUAAAGUGUAGGCCUCUAGGAAUACUCCUCACAUUUCAGUAAGUAGAAAAGCAAAUUUAACAACAGAUACUGAGGUCAGGGUAUUAUAAUUUGUUGAUUUUUACAAAGUUUAAUAGAUGAGAAUGUCCCCAAAAUGAGAAGUAUAUCCCUUAUUUAUUGUUGAAGGGAUUUGAUUUACUUUAAAUUUUAAAGGAUCGAUACAGUGAUCAGAAUUUCAGAGUCCCAGUCACAAUACUUUAUAUUUAGAUUAAUUUUUAUUCUGCCAAAGCAAUAUAGAAGCAUCUUAAACAGCACUCAUAACAUAAGAUAGAUGUCCUGUACCCUAUCAUGUAUCAUAAUUAACUAAGUAAUUAAGCUGCUCUCAACAGACAGAUAGAAGAUCAUGCUAGUUUACGAAGACUACAAAGCAUGGUUCAAAUAAUACAUGGAAAUAACAACAUCCUUUGAAAAAUACAAGUCUUCUUUAGCUGCUGGUUUUGUGUAACUAUGCAUAAGAAGCUGUAUAGCAGAAAAAAAUCUUUCAGCCUCAGUAAUAAGGAAUGUCACUAAAAAAUAGGUAGGUAAUCAUGUCUCAUUAUCUUUCAAGAAUGUCACAGCAGAAUCAACACAGCUUCAGUGAGUAUACUGCUGGAUUGCUUCCCUUCUCAUAGCUUUCAGAAGGACUAUCAUUAUAUUUUCAGUAACAAAUCUUCACAAUUUGUAGGAUUGUAAAAAUGCUGAAUAAGAAUGUCCAUUAUUAAAAAGGAAGGAAUCAAAUUGAAUAGUUUUUCUAAUGUCAUAAACACCGCUGAGUCCACAACGUCCAUCUUCUAGGCUUUGAUUAAUAGAAGUCAUUAUAAACAUGCUUGAAUUUAACUUUCCUGAAUAGGAGGACUUUAAGGAUUAAUAUGGGCCUCUGGAAAUGAGAUACAAGAUGUUCUGAAGGAUGCUAACCUCUGACUGAACAGGACAGAAGCUCUUCUGAUUCCCCAGUUUGGAUGAGAAAUUGUGUCUGCUCCUCAGAGAAAGAAAAAAAAUGAAGACUGGAGAAGAUGCAGUUAUCCCUUAUCCUCAUGAACCUCAUUUUAGCAGAUAAAAAGAUACUGAGUCUAGAGAGCAGAUGAGCUGGAUCCAUUACCACAUUUGUAUGACUUAUGGUGGUAGAACUAAUUAUGCCUUAUGGCACCAAAAUCUAGUAAUUCUUGCAGACGGCCCUUGUUCACGGUAAUCAGCCUAUUUGAGGGCAUUCUGCUUUUCAGUGUCCUUGUCAAUGCUAGCACAGAGAUAGAAACAUGCUGCUACAUGCUCAGAGCUCUCUUGGGGCUUUAGUCUCUUCAUUAUGUGUAGUCCAGGUGUGGCCUAUGACAGAGACCUUUGAAGAAACGGUCUAUACAACUUUAUAUAUUUGUUGAUGGGAGGCUUGGGAAGUAGUUCAACAGGCGGAUUUGUGCCUGUAGAAGUUUAUGGGCAUGUUGGUAAUUUGCACCAGGACUUCUGAGCUGCUUGCUAAUAUCCUUGCCAAAAGUCAUGGAGCUCAGAUUUACAUGGAGUAUAUUUGUCAUUAGGAUUGGUAUUCAUCAAAUGUAACCUCGGUAUCUUGUAUUACUAAAUGUUUUGAUGCGAGUUGUUUUAAUUUUUCCAGAGAUAACCCUGGACUUAUCUUUAAAGCACUCAACAUCCAAUCUCCUCCUGUUUUGCCUUUGCUUAGCUCUCAGCUCUCUGUGUUGAGUGUGAUUGGUGACCUUUUUAAAGAAAGGUAUCAUCACUAAAAGUCUCCUCAUUGACAGCAUCCAUACUCUUAUGUUUUGUAGCUAAUGGAUUUUUUACCAUCUAAAAUAUUAUACAAAGUUUUGUCCCAGUAAAAGCUCACAUGCAGCUGUAAAGUGAUGUCUGCAGCUUAAAGGAGUGUCCCCUCUAAGAGUCGCUGGCAUAUGGGUUUUUAUGUAUUAGGGUCUGUAAAUGAGAUACCACUUGCAAAGAUUAACCAUGUUUCAGGGCUGUGUGCCAGAUGGUAAAAACCAUAUGAGUUGUGGAGUCCUUAGAGAUUUUUUUUUUUUUAGUUUGUUUUUGUUUAUCAUAGAGAAUAUGCUUCUGGGUUCAUAAAGUUUCAGCAUGUUCUUUCUAACGCGUCAUGGAGAAAGAAGUAUUAACUCUAUCCUGAAUCCAGGCCACCGACAGCUAUAAAAAUAGCCUUUAAAAGAGGAGGUAGGCAGCCUAUUUCCUGGGAGAAAAAAAUAGCGGUUUUAAAAUACUUUCUGUGUUGAUGCUAAAAUUAAUGGGUUGUUAUUGUUAUUCUCUGAAAUGAUCUAUUCAGAAGAUAAAGCAAUAUUUUUUGAAACGAAUGUAUUUAAAUACUCUGCUCACGCUGUUUGCCUGGUUAUGUAGUAUUGUUCUUACUACAAUGAACUACGCGUGCUUGGGUGUAAGCUUGCAUUCAAAUAGUACCACAGAGCAGCUUCCCCAGUCAGAUAUACAAAUAACUGGAGAUAUGUGAAAGCCAUGGUGAUGUGAGGCCACAGGCCAGGCAAGCCAAUGCAAGUCAUGGCACACAGCCAGCUUUAACAAGACUCUUCAGUGUACCCUGCUUGGGAGUAAGGCUUGCUGUGUAUGGUCUCUAGGAAGGUGAUGAACCCAUGAUUUUUAGCACAGAUAAAAAGGACACACCGUAAGUUAUCUAAUUGGACAGCAGAAUUUCCAUUUUCUUUGCUUGUGGAAAUUUACCUAACAACAACCUCCAUGUUGGAAAGCAGGCAGCAGCCACACAAGAUCCAUGGAGAUGCAGGAUGGAAAGGACCCUGAAGGCAGUGAGGCCCAGGCCGGCCUCGUGUGGGACGAACCGCAGCCCGUACCGCUUCCAUUGCCCGUAAUACGGAGGUUUGCCCUCGUCGCUGCGGUUUCGCUGCGGUUUCAGCCACCGCCGCGGAGCGCCCGGAGUCCGCUGGGGUCGGUCGGCAG